rnacentral:rRNA from 2 species
UUCUGGUCUGUAACUGACACUGAAGGCGCGAAAGCGUGGGGAGCAAAACAGGGAUUAGAUACCCCUGGUAGUCCACGCCGUAAACGAUGAGUGCUAAGUGUUUAGAGGGUUUCCGCCCUUUAGUGCUGAAGUUAACGCAUUAAGCACUCCGCCUGGGGAGUACGGCCGCAAGGCUGAAACUCAAAGGAAUUGACGGGGGCCCGCACAAGCGGUGGAGCAUGUGGUUUAAUUCGAAGCAACGCGAAGAACCUUACCAGGUCUUGACAUCCUCUGAAAACCCUAGAGAUAGGGCUUCUCCUUCGGGAGCAGAGUGACAGGUGGUGCAUGGUUGUCGUCAGCUCGUGUCGUGAGAUGUUGGGUUAAGUCCCGCAACGAGCGCAACCCUUGAUCUUAGUUGCCAUCAUUAAGUUGGGCACUCUAAGGUGACUGCCGGUGACAAACCGGAGGAAGGUGGGGAUGACGUCAAAUCAUCAUGCCCCUUAUGACCUGGGCUACACACGUGCUACAAUGGACGGUACAAAGAGCUGCAAGACCGCGAGGUGGAGCUAAUCUCAUAAAACCGUUCUCAGUUCGGAUUGUAGGCUGCAACUCGCCUACAUGAAGCUGGAAUCGCUAGUAAUCGCGGAUCAGCAUGGCGCGGUGAAUACGUUCCCGGGCCUUGU